UCACCCUGGGGCAGGAGAGAGGACAGGGACCAUCAGGACACGGUCUAGUUUCUCCCCAGGUGUUGGGAAGGGAACCAGGGAGGACUUGCUGCUCUUAGAAAGACAGACUUUGCCAAUUGAAAUGGGUGCUCUGUACAUCAACAUUCAAGUCUAGAGGUGGUCCUAGAUCUCACACUCACCCCCCCCAAGCAGCCCAUUCUCUCCUCACUUGGGGUGGGACACUUGAGUAGCAUCAGUUCAGGGGCUGGAGUGGCACAGAGAUUAUCCAGCCACCCUAUCUGGGCUUAAUGAGAGGCCCAAAGCUUUUCUACUGAAGCAGCGGCUGGGAGAGCAGGGGCUGGGAGAGCAGGGGUAGGGGCUGGGAGAGGGGUACCCCCCCUAUGCUGAGGUACUGACCAGCAAUUCCCAGUCGGCAUCAUUAAUCAGCACCAGAAUUCCUGGUCGCCUGUGGAAAAGAUGGCAUAAGUAGCAAGGAUUGAAAGGCAGAAGACUCUAGAGUCUUUGGGCCGUAGGAGAAGAGGCAGCCCUUCUUUCUGAGGUUUUGGUUAAAUAUCUGCCAGGCCAGGCGCAGUGGCACAACCUAUAAUCCCAGUGGCUCUGGAGGCUGAGGCAGGAGGAUCAGGAAUUCAAAGCCAGCUCAGCAAAAGAGAGGCAACUCAGUGAGACCCUGUCUCACAGGUCAGUGGUUGAAUGCCCCUGAGUUCAAUCCCCAGUACUCCCCCCCCAAAAAAAAAAUCUUAAAAGUAGAGGAACCCAGGUAAAGGAACCCAGGUCAGAAGGCCUGGUCUUGAGGGCCAGAUGGAAAGUGUAUGCAAGUACCAAUACCAUUACCCAGACCUUAGGCAAAUUAUUUUGUUUCUCUGCACAUCAGUUUCUUUUUAUUUUUUUAGUGGUACUGGAGACUGGCCCAGGGACUUGGGCAUGUUAUAGGCAAGUGCUCUAUCACUGAGCUACAUCCCAGGGCCAUUUUUGGAUUUUAUUUUGAGACAAGGUCUCAUUAAGCUGCUAAGGCUAGCCUCAAACUUGAGAUGCUCUUGUUUCAGCCUCCUGAGUAGCUGAGGUUACAGGCAUAAGCUGCUGCACCCAGCUGCACAUCUGUUUCUUCAUCUGAAAAUGGGGUAAGCAGGCGCCUGAGUCACAGGUGUGCCCAAGGAUGCAAAGAGAUACAAAGGGCUUGCUGGCCACACUGUCAUGAUAACUGGAGAAGCAGCAUACUUUUCCUGGGGUUUAAUCUUAGUAUUUUAGGCCCCAGAUAGGAAGAACUCCAGCUUCAAGGCCCCCCACAUGCCCAUGCUUCCCCUUGAGAGGAGGCUACCUUAGCUCUUAUAGAUCAGGGAUGGUUGCCAGCGGGACCUGAAUGCUCAAGAGUAGCUCUACCUCAGAUCCACAAGGCAGCUUAGCUGGCUCCUACUGGCAGUAGCCCAAAGGGCACUGCUAUUCUCGCAGGUGGCCUCUGGGACUGCUGCACCAGGGUCUGAACCAGAGGCCCUGGGGGGCACCCCUAGCCCUCAGGAACUGAAGGAGCCUCACAACUGUGUUACCUGCCUCUUUUACUUAAGCUUGAAGAGGCCUUGUUAGAAGUGACGUGACUCCCUGGCACAUGGAAGCUGGUCCUUUGCCAUCAGGCUGGGCUAGGCUGGGUGAGAGAGGUAGGAAAGCUUUGGACUUUUAUAGGGUAUCCAUAAUGAGAGAUUAAAUGUGUGUUCCUGAGAGGGUACAUGCAUGCAGUUAAUGACCCCUGGAAUCUGAGACCUGUGUGUCCCAUAUAGUACCUACUGGCCAUAUGUUGCUAUUUAUAUUAUAAUGAAAUAAAAUGGAAUGUUUAGUUCCUCACUCACACUAGCUGCACUACAAGAGCUCAACAGCCCCAUGUGGCAGCAGUUACCACACUGGACAGCACACAUAUGGAACAUCUCCAUCACUGCAAAAAGUUCUAUGGGAUAGCACUGUCCUAGAUAGUUCAAUGACAAGAGGGACCUUGAGCAGCAUCUUUUUCUUAGAAUUUUCUGUAUAUAGAGAGUAAUGGAGGCCCAAAGAAGCAAAGUAACUUGCCUCAGAUUUCACAGCAAGUUUGUGGCUGCCAGAAGGUGUAACUGGAUUUUUUGGAGAAAUUCACCAGGCUCCUUUCAUCACGUGUGUGUUGCCCAGGUCUUGUGCAUGAGAGGCAGGCACUCUACCAACUGAGCUGUGUCCCCGGCCCCUUGUGAGGGCUUUUAACAAAUUCCGGACAGUCUAGUGUGGUAUCAAGAAAACUGAAAAUCGACCUCAGACAGAACUGGAUAGCUCUUUUCUCAGAGGAGACAGGGAGAACAAAGAGGGAACAGGACCUAGAGGAGGCUGAGACUGAACCCAAGGAUAGGGGCCCAGACGUCCUUCCCACCCUGUCUUCUUCAGGGAAGAGAGGAAGGGACUCACACACUGUCUCCCUGGAGGAACAGCUCUGGCCGCUCUUUUAGCAAAUUCUUCUUGAUCCAGAUGAGGAGAUUCCGGAUGUCCCCUGGAGAGGAAGACACAACUAAUAUCAAACCCAGACCCAUAAGAUGCCAGUGACUGGUCAAAGCCCUCAGGACAACCUGGGAGUAAGGAAUCACAUCCUGAGGCCACGUGUGCUAGCAGGCAGACUCCUACUCAUGGCACUGGGGAGGAAGAUGGAUACUUAAUGCCAAGGUGUCCAGCAUAGAAGACCUUGUGGCCUGGCCUGCCUGCUGGGGGAGGGCAAGUGAAGACAGCUGCUGCUCUGUGGAAGAGUGGUUAAGAGUUCCCCCUCUGGAGUCAGAGGGAACUUAGCUGUGGGCUGGAUGGCCUUGAGUAGGAAGUCACUUGACCUCUCUAAGUCUUGAUGUCAUCUACCUUUCAACAAAUGGGAACAAUAAUCCACACUUCAAGAAGGCUAUGUGAGAAUUAAGGUAUAGCCUAGAAGCAGGCCACAGAGCGUGAAGCACACAGGACACGCUGAACAGACAUGUGCCACAGGAGCACAUGGCAUGUCCAUCCUAGCAGGCUCCUGGGAAAGCUUCCACCAAAAUCCUUGCCCCAGUGACUUCUCCUUGUCUGGGGUAUACAUGCUGCCCAAUAUGGCAGGGCCACCAAGGGUGUCAACCCCAGGCUCUUGGGGCUGAAAAAGAACAACCUCAAGGUCCCAUCUGACAUUGAAUCCUGCCUGCAACAGACUCUCAUUCAGCCUCCUUGAACACCUCAGGGGCAGGAGGUCACUCCCAAGGAGUUGUGCUUCUCCAACAGAAGCAAGUUUUCCAGCCACUCCCAUCCACUGGGCCUGUUGGUCCACAGGGCCCACGCCAACAAUAUGACCCUUGUCCCCAUAACAGCCCUUCAGAUUUAGGAGAUCCUGGAAUCCCCUAAAUCUUCCCUUCUGUAGAUUAUACCUUCCUGUCCCCACCAAGGCUCCAAGACAGGGUUCUUCUGGGAGCCCACCCCAGGCCUAAAUUGAAAGGGAGAAGAAAGAGCUGGCAUAGGGGGAGUGAAAGAGAAGAGGGGUGGAGGGAACCUCUGAGGCUCCAUUUACAAAUGAAUGGGGUAAGAAUGGAGCAGUUUGUGGGCUAAACUGGCCUCAGAAGGAGGUUUACAGAUGUGCGAGGGGACGCUCCUCAUUGUUUAAUUAAGCAGAAAGUGGAUCUUUUCAAAAGCAAUUUUGCACAGGGACUGGGAGGGGUGGGAGGAGAGGAGGGAGGCAGCGAGGGGAUCAGCAAACAGGCCCCAAGAGCAGAGAAAGGAACAGCUGGCCCCAGAGAGGCUGUGAAAUGAAUGCUAAGCAGUUUAAAGCGCCCAGAAGCUCUGCUCAGCUCCUCCCCUCCUUCACCAGCCACCCUUUAAUGUGAAUCAGCAGGAAGAGGGGGCAUGCGGGUGGGGCAAGAAAGGUGAGGCAGUCUCCUUCCUACAGGGGAAGGGGCUGGGAGCCUGGAGUUGAAGGGAUCCUUGAGUCAUAAAGGCCAGCAGCCAAAAUGGCCAGACGGUGGUUGGUGCCUGCCCCCAAAAUCCCCUCCAAUUAAGGAGAUGAUGACAGUUAACACACACACACCACUCGCCUCUUGCAAACACAUACUUGUAACUACUUGCUGGGUCUACACAUCCUACUUCACAAAAGGACAUAUACUUACAUCUGGAACCAACUUUUCCAAAUUGGAGUUGUUCAACAGAUAUCAGGCUCAAUAAAGAGUGGAGUUGGCCCAUUUUCCAUUCUACACAUGGGGAGAGAGAGGUUGACCGAAGCCACUAAUGUGCAAUGCACACUGCCAGGGCUCCUCUCUUGGAGUUUCAUCCCCUUUGGCCUCUCCUGUCCUCUUACCAUGUGGGGUGGGUUGGAAGUUCUCCCCUGGCCCAGGACUCACAGGUCCCCUUUUUUUGUGAGACUUAUCAUAGUCUACAGUUUUUUUUUUUCUUUUUCUUUUAAUACUGGGAAUUGAGCCCAGGAGCAUUCUACCUCUGAGCUACCUCCAAACCCUUUUCAUUUUGACCAGGGUCUCAUUAAGUUUCCAAGGCUAGCCUUGAACUUAUGAUCCUCCCGCCUCAGACUCCAGAGUUGCUGGGAUUGCCACCAUGCCUAGCAGUCACAAUCUGUGAUCCAUGGCUCUUGCUAUUUCAGCUGGAGUAUCUAAGACCUGCUUGGCCAAGUGGCAGCCAGGGCUGGGAAGGUUGCCAGAUGACAGAUCUGGGCAUGGGUUGGGGAGAGAAUAUAAGACUUCUCUAGCAGUAUCAGGCCCCUUGGGUUCAUGAGUGCCAGAGUAAGGCCUGGCAACUGCAAACUAACUCUGUGGCUGCAAUGUGACCUGUGCCUCUGGACACCGCAGGUCACAAAUGGGGACCAAGAGUGAGCAAUAGGGGCAUCUUGCCUUCCUUCCCUGGGUUGAUGGGCCUCCAUGUUUUGCUAUCUGGCUGAGGAAUGAAGGAACAGAAACCUGAGUCCUAGCUCCUAGCCCAGCUUCCCUACCUAGGUAAUUGUGGACAGGUCUCAGGUCCCUCCUCCUUAGUCUGUUUUCCUUCCCUCUGAGGUCUGACUUCCUUGGUGAUAGGAUCUAUCAGGGUCAUAACAAAAGUUAAACUAAAUAACCAAUGAGGGUCAUGAGUGAAAAUAACAGUGUAAAAACUGGAAAACAGGUCUUGGGUGUGAUAAGUCAGGGUGAUUCAGGGAGCCUCUUGGAACAAAUGAUGGCUUAAUGCCUGGACUGCAGAGACCCUGCGGUCUGGGUGUGCUUCACUUAAGUAAUUAUAUGAAGAAGAUCCCUUUUUCACUUUAACUUAUUUAUGUAUUUUUUGGUAAUGCUGAGAUUCAAACUCAGGGUCUCCUGCAUGCCAGGUAAGCUCUCUACCACUGAGCUACACCCCCAGCCCAGUUUCGGCCUUUAAAAAUUGAAAUAAUAGGAGCUAUCGCCUAAGAAUGUGGGAAAAUGAUCUACAAAACCUACUGAGACUUUACCUGCCACUCCAAACUCAGCCUGUGCCCCCUUAAUCCUGGCCUUCCUUCAGCACUCUACCCAGACCAAGGCUUUUUGCCCCUUGGAGUUUUCCCAAGUGCUGUCUCCCUGCCUGGAAAGGCCCAGGCCUCUUUGCUCUCUCCCUGCAGUUUAUCAGGUUGGCUUCCUUCCAUUCUUCAGUCCUUCACUCAACCUCACCUCCUUGAAUUGAAGAGGCCUUCCCUGACCACUUGUUAGUCCCAUUCCAAGCACCUAUGUGCUCUUCUCAUGCCAAUCACUGGAGUCUAUGAUGGUACAGUUUUAUGUUUGUUUCCUUAUUUACUGCCGGCUCCAUUUGAAUGCCACAGUUAACUUCAUGAAGACAAGAACCCACCCAGCAACCAGUGCACUGAAGGCACCAGUGCAAAAGGAGGCAAUCAAAAAAUAUUGCCAACUACAUGAAAGAAUUAAGUACUUCCUACCAUUCAUUCCUGGCACUUGCUGAGUACUCUGUCGAUGAAUGAAUGAGAUGAAGCUAGAAUGGUGAAAACUAGUGGGCUUUCAUGCCAAGCAAACUUAAGAGGAAAUAAAUCAUAAUGUGCUAUUUUAAUAAACUUCCAGGAAAGAUCUUUGAGAGGCUUUAUCUGAGAACCCUUGCUUCCUCUCAAGGCUGCCAAGGUUGCGUGGCCAUCUGCCACACUAAGAAACAAGGAUCUAUCAUCUGAGGGUCCCCGCUACCCCCAGAAAGGACACAAAAUCUUACUAUCCUGCCGUUUUAACACCAACUACACACAGCCCCAGCUCAAGGUGAGCAGUACCCUGAUUCUGGAUAAAUGUCCCCCAGCCUCUAAGAAUGGCAGGGAGCCAGGGACCCAAAGGAGGGCCAGAGAUGGCCAUGGCAACCAGUGGAUUUGGACAAGUGUAAUUGUUUUGUUCCUGGCAGAUGUGUCCACUUCAGAGGAAUCUUAUCAAACCUCACCUGAUCAUUUUUUUAGUGUCCACCUCCUGGAACCUCAUUCCCCUGCUUCCGCAUAUGCUUGAUGGCCUCGUCUCAGCCUUAGAAAGAGAUUGGGCUCCUAUCCCUGAGUAUCUGCUCUCAGCAGGACUCACUGCUAGGGCUGUAAAAGACCUGACAGUCACCAGGUCCAGACCCUGCCCUAGGCUACACUAAUGGUUACCCUGGCAUACCUCUGGGUUAACUCUUUAAAACCUCCCCACUUGAAGGCAGGGGCUGACUCCUCUUGUUCAUGUUUGUCACCUCAAUGACCAGACACAGUGCACCUCACAGAAAGUGCUCAGUAUAUAUUUGUUCAAGAAAGAUUAACAAGUUUCUCCUUUAGUCAACCUCCCUCCUCCAAUCUUUCUGGCUGGAGCCUUUUCAUUAGUCUAAAUCUCUGCACUGUCAGGAGAGUCCAAUUGUUUGGUCCGUUCUCAGGGAAGGUUACCUCCUUGAAAAGACCUUCCCUGUGCUGCCACAUUAUAAUAAUAGAGGGCUGGGGAUAUAGCUCACUUGGUAGUUGCCUCACAUGCACAAGGCCCUGGGUUCAAUCCCUAGCACACAUCCCCACCCCCCACACAAUGGCAUAAUUUACUUCCUCCUCCUAACAUCUCUAAGAGAGAAGGACUGCCAUACCCCCUUCACAGCUGAGAAUACUAGAGUUAAAGAAGACUAGGUCCCUGGCCUAAGGUUCUAAGGAGUAUGAAACCUUCACAGAACUAAGUAACCCCACUUCCCUCCCACGAAGCUGGUUGAUCCCAGAGAAGAUGGGAGAAAAGUAUUCUGGUGACUUUUUCUUCCUUCCCACCCCUGGCCAGGGAAAUCCUACCCAUUUUCACUGAACAGGGCUAAAUGAUCCCAUAGACCCUCUCCUGCCCAAUAUCCACUCCCCCACCCCAGCUUAAAAAGCCAAUACUCACAGGGCUCCUCCUGCCCAGGCAAGGUGACUUGAUGUUUUUUUACACCAUCAAAUAGGAGCUCAGCACCACCUCUGCAAAGGAAGGCCAAAAAAGACAGCCAGGUGAGCUCCUGCAAACAGAACUAAGGAUGAAAACUAAGAUGAGAAUGGAAGAAGAACUAAGGAUGAGAAUGGAAGUAGAAGCCCAAGAGAUACAGAGACCAAAGUUCAGGAACAACAGGCACUGGUGACUAACUCUCAAAUGCGACUUCCUGCUGUGGUAAGGUAGGUAUAAGUAAUUUUUACUAAUAAUCAAGCAGACUGUUUGCCCCAGAAGCAGCCGAGUACACAGUUACAGAACAUUAGCUUUGGAGCUGCCAAUUCCAACAUGGAGACCAGGCUCCAUCUCUGCCAACCAGGGCAUGUGACUCCAUCUUCUCAUACCUUGAUCUUUCCAUCUGCAAAAAUGCUGAAAAGCCUUGUAAGACCUUCUGCAGAUCCUGUGCAUCUCAAAGUUUCCUCUGGCCAGGUGAGGUCUAGAAAUGACUCUGUCCCUGUCCCCUGCUGCUAGCCUGGUGGGCAUACCAUAGCACUGGAGGCUGAGAGUCCACUGAGCUCUCAGCCUCAGCUAGCAUCCACCAAGAGUAAUCCUGCCAUUUAUAAGAUGCUCCUCACCUUAUUUCAUCCUCAAGGCAUCACAGGGAAGAACUGGGAGGGAGGCAGAUAUCAUUAACUCCAUUUCAUAGAGAAGCAGGCUGGUUCCUGGAAAGGUCAAGUGACUUGUGCAAGGUCAGACAGGAAGCAGCUGCACUAAAAUAUGAAUCUAACUGGUUUCUGCUCAGCCCCAGCAGCCUUGCUGAAAAAUAAAUAAAUAAGAUUCCCCAAAGGUCAGAAAGCCCCCUGAGGGCAGUUUGGUUCAUUUCUGCAUCUCAACAUUGUGCCCUGGGAAGGCAGGAACAGUAGAGAUAAUCAGAGUAAAGUACAGAAGCCAGGACUCCUGAUGUGGGCAGCAGGAUUCUUUCAGUGCCCCAUACUCAUCUCCCUUUGGGUCUCCUGAUUCCCAUCUCAGACCUAACAUGGGUCUGACCUGAGAAGGCCCUAAUAGACUUGAUGGAUGGGAUACCUCCCAGCCUACCACCCUUUCCCAAUUUCAGGGAACAGAGAUGUCCUGAGACAGCCCACUGGGAGGCAAAGGCAAGGAAAGCAUUGUCAUGGGAGAAACAUGGGGCGACUGUCAUCCAAACAAGGUCACGCUUUGUUGAUGCAGAAAUGUGGAGGGGGAGCAGAGGCCCAUCUGUGGCUGUGUGCAGGGACAUUUCAGCUGCAAGCCCGCACAGAGCCUCCAUUUAUCUCUUUCCAAGAGCCUCAUUUUCUCCUGGGUAGGGGUUGGCACAUGUAGCAGCUGGGAUGGGGGAUGGUGACAGGCAAGGGGCUCAGGAAUUGGGGGUCAGAGAAGAUGGGUGGGAAGUGGAGGCACUGGGACCCAGGCAAACAACCAAGAGUGGCCAAAGCUGGUGGUGCCAGUCUCAGAGGCUGAGUCUGUUUUUUCCCUUUAUAAAUGGAUGAAGGCAGAACCAGUCUGGCUCAGAGAGUAACCUGUCACUACUGGGCUCACUGGGCCCCAGGGGAGGGGUUGACACUUCUGUCAGCACAUCUGGAGUGGGGGAAAGUGCACACCAAGCCUCUAGAGUGACCCUAGGAGGCAGACAAGGGGCCUGUUCUAGCCCCAUGGACCCAACCAAAUCUUCUUAUGUCUUACAGGAUUUGCUAUGCAACUCAACUAAGACCUCCAUCUUCUCUCCACGUGCCCAGACAUUCCUGCUGGAUGUCUGUUUAUACCAGUGUCAGAUACAGACAUUCCCAAAACUGUCUUCCUUCUACUAGUUCAUCUUCAUCGUCUUUAUCAUCUAUUCAUCUAUAUUUGGUUCUUUUUAAAAAAAAAUAUUACUUCA